UCCAUCAUUGUGGGGAAGUCAAGGCAGCGGGGACCUGAAACAUCACAUCCACAGUCAGGAACAGAGAACAAGAUGUUAAUGUGCACAUGCUUGCUCUCAGCUCACUUUCUCUUUUUUUCUGUAGAGUCCUAGAUUCAAAGGUAGGGACAGGUGUCACCCACUUUUAGGCUGGGUCUUCCCACACCAACAACAUAAUCAGGACAGUCUCUCACAGGCAGACUUGAUGUGGACAAUCCCUCAUUGAGAUUCUCUUUUUCAGAUCCAUCCAUUGUCUAUUCCUUCAUGCCAUACCAUCUGUGGUAUUAACUGGCAGCCUGACUGGAUUUGCAAUCACCAUGGGAACACAUGUGUCUCCAAGAACAUUUCCAGAAAGAUUUGACGGAUCCGCUGUAAUGGUUUGAAUGAGAAAUGCCCCCCAGUGUCUUGGGCAUGUGACUACUCGGCCACAGUUGAUAGAGCCAUUUAGGAGCUUUAGGAGAUGUGGCUUUGUCAGAGAAGUGUAGCACUGAAGGACAACUUUGAAGUUUCAAAAGCCACUCUCAAUUUCUAGGUCACUUUCUCUGCUUUCUGUCCACAGUUCAAGAUGUGAGCCUUAAGCUUCCUGCUCCAGCUGCCAUGGCUCCACUCUGGCAUCACGGACUCAGACAGCCUCAUAGUCACUGUGGGCCUGAGGAUGACCUUGAACUCCUGGUGCUCUGUAUCCUCUCAAGUGCUUGGCUUGCUAGUGUGUGCCACUACACAUGGUGUAUGCCGUGCUGGGGAUCGCACCCAGGGCUUUGUGAACGCCUCGAGGGCCAAGUGCCGAUCGAGCCACACCUCCGGCUCUCCUUAGUUUUUUAAACACACCCCGUUGGAGGCAGGUAUUGGUUCAUCCCAUUCUGUCCCAGUGAUUCAUUUCUAGAUGAUGGGGACGGCAUUCUAGAUAGCAUGGGCCUGGGACAAAGGGUCUACACCGAGAAGCCGAACUUUGGAGAGCAGGAGACCUCUGGAAAAAAAAAAAAAAUCUCCUGACUGCAUAUGUAAGCCGAGGCUGUCAUCAUGCCUCAGCUGACCACCCUUUUCUCCAGCAGCUGUCCAUGUCAGAGAACAUUUGGGCCUCGCUGACCACAUCCCAGCCCUUCACUGUUUACUCAGUAAGACCCUCUUGGGAUGUCCCGCCCACCUUUCCUUUCCAAAGCUGUCCUGUCCCAGAGUGAGAAAACGUGUUCAGCUUUUCAGUCUUUGUUUCUUUCUGCUCUCACUCUGCCAAACUUCUCAUCCCCUGGGACGCAUUCUUCUCUCCUCCAGAUCCAGUUUUUUGGGGGAGACACUACCCAUUAUUCAGACAGGAGAAGGAGGUGGCAAGGGGAUUGUGGUCAGCAGCGCUGGGUUCCGUGCCUGAGCAGAGGCAGGCUUCCCAUUUCCCGUUGCCUCCUGAGGGCCCUCUCAUGUGAUGCUGGCUGGAUAGUCAGCAUUUGUCUGUUCCAAGUUCUUUCCCUAAAUUGCAGCAGCACAGUUCCUGGUUUAAAAACCACAUGUUACGUGGCAUGUCUUCCUCCAGUUUCCACAGAACCCAGCCGCAAGCCACCAACAGUGUGUGGGAAAAACAGUCCGGGAUGUCUCUCUUCUUUUGGCUUGUGCUCUUUCCUGGUGCUUGAGAUGGAAGCCGGGGGCCUUGUGUGAACUAGGCUGUCACUCUACCACUGAGACACACCACAUUCCCUUAAAGAGGGGUCUUUGGAGGCUGUUCCCUGCCACAGCCUCCCUGGGGAGCCCAGGUCCCUUUCCUCUUUGUCCAGAGUCACUCGGCUUGAUUCUUAUUUUGGUUGUUUACAACAUGGUCAUAUAGAAGGAAAAAGUGUGGGAUGGACCAGAGAUAACCAUAACUCAAAACCAUCUGUGGAUAGCGUUUAAGAACGUGGGGGCACUUAUGCGGAUGUUACAAAAUGGCUUCGGGUAUUGACUUCUGUAUGUCACUUUCCCUAUUAUUGUCUUAUAGUUGUUUUGUCUCUGUUCUCAUUUUAGACCCUGGAGUCUCUACACGGACUAAUACACUAGUAUUUUUACUACCCUUGAUUAUCACAGGUAUAAUUAUUUCCUGUUUUUCAGGAGAGUAAAUGAUACCACAAAAGAUCAUCUCAAACAUGGAUUGUUCUUCUCCAUCCAAACCCUAAGAGACGGACUUACCAAGGUUAAAGCGUAUGCAUGGGUUUAUGUGUUUUGGGAAAACACAGCCACAGGAGCUUGGGGGACAGGUGGCCUAGGAUCAUCUUGGCAGCUGAAGCUGAGCCCAGGGUCUCUUGUCCACCACACUGGCCUUGAACACGGACGGAAUCACAGCACUCCACUGUCUCAUCUGACAUGGAACGUGGCCUCUCAUCUCCUCCCAGCCUCAUUCUUGGAGACCUUUGACAAGAACCCCUAAGAAGUAGUUUGGAAGAUUUAUGAGGGCCUGCCCACCAUCUGGAGAAGUAUCUGGUCUCAGAAGUUCUCUGGCCAUGUCAGUGGAAACUAGGGCCAGGGGACUUGUCAGGACAUCUUCCAGUUCCAGCCCCUGUCAUCCUUCAGCAUAGUUUCUGGCCCCCACCAUGCAGAUACAAUGGACUCCCUCCUCCCCUCUCUCCCCCAGGACCCGGAAGCUUUUCAAGGCCUUUGUCCGUUUCCUAAGCAAGUCACUGAAUACGACCUGGGAAUAUAGAGCAUGGAUGGCAUUGUUAGAUAAACAAAGCAAUUCCAAGAAAAUUCUAGUCCUGUUACCUAGCAUCUCUUUGGACCACUUUUGGGAAGCAGCCCUCUUUUUUCAGCUCAACAAGCCCUUAGAGAUCCGGCCCAUCUGUCCCUUAUCUGCAGCGCAUCCCCGCUCCACCAGACGAAACCAGUCCUGUGCGCCCACAUUUGCCAAGUUCUCCAUCUACUUCUGUGUGCCCGGCUUCUAAGACCUGGGCACCAAGUGGUGUCUGGAGGUUAUUAACGUGGGCACACAAAAGUCAUCUUUGGAGGAAGUUGAAAGGCGAGCUCUGGACUGGUCUGUUUUCCCUCGUGAGCUCCACGCAGGGCUGGUCAGGCCAGUCACUCUGGGGGCAUGUGAGUCCCUGGGACCCCUGCAUAGCCAGACGGGUCUCCUUGAAGGGAUGUUUGAGAACAUGAGGACUCCUCCCAAGGUAGUCAGGAGGGGUGCUCUGAGCAUGACUGAUCCUCACAGUCUUCAGGCUUCCCAGAAGUCCGGGCCUCUAGACUGAGGGGUGAUUUUCUGCCCAUAUUUGGGGACACAGAUGGUGUUGGAAAUGCUUUGGGACUAUGAAAGGUGCGGAGUGUGGGGUCUGACCUGGAGCACGGUUAACAUCGAAGAGCAGCUCUGUCGGAAAACAACAAGCAAAACCAGGGGCCCAGCAGGAUGCUUUCCAUUUCCACAGCACGGAAACCUCUACCAGGGCUGAGGGCAAUCCACGGAGGCAGGGUUCAGAAGGGACGCCCAGCACCACACCGUUCAAUGACAGCCACCUCUCCCAUGUGCCCUGUGGGCUUCUGAAGAGAAGCAAAUGAAGGCACAUCCACUCCCUUCAGCUAGCACCGUGGGAUGGCUCCGCCCCAGCCUAACCUGGUGAACCAGAGUGAGUGGAUUACAAACAGGAGCACAGGUGAGGGGUUAGUUACAGCAUAGAUGACUCCCAAGUAGCGACAUCAGUGGCAAGUGCUACCCCAGCGUGGGUGACAACUUCCCAUAGCUACUUUGGAGUCCCCUCUGCGUCAGCCAGCUUUCCGCCCCUCUCAUCCUAGCGUCUCCCAAGACCAGGUUCUGCUGAGGCACCUCAUAUAGGUGGGGGACAGAUGCAGGAGGGAGCCAAUGGCUGGGAGCUCAGGUAAGGGCUUAACGAUCGACCCCCACCCCCAGCUCUCCUUCUAUGAGACACAUCAACCAGUCUGAUCUUGCCGAGGGUCUGCUGACACUCACCCCAAGCCAUCCCAGGAGGGAGUGUCAACAGGCCUGGCCUUAUUAAGGGCCUCUUGCAUUGGCAUUUUAAUUGAGACUGUGAUUUCUGUCAUGCUCAAAAGACAGCAUUCCACACAGGA